UUAAAAGGUCUGACUUCACUGAAUUGAGAUUAUUGGUGAUUUCCAUUGAAGAUUUGUAACAGUCAGCAAAAUUUCCUGUACAAAGAGAAAACCUAGACUGAUAAACAAAUACAGCCAAUUUAGAGUCACCCUGCAGGUGCUGAUGGCUGCCUGGAGAAAACAUUGUUUUAUCGUCUAGCUGCCCGUCCAACGCCUUCCAACCAAAGGCUCAGGGCUUUUCUGGGAAUCUCUGUAAACUGGGGAUGGCUCUGUGUGGGAG
rnacentral:lncRNA from 1 species